rnacentral:rRNA from 1 species
AUUGAACGCUGGCGGCAUGCCUUACACAUGCAAGUCGAACGGCAGCAUGGAGAGCUUGCUCUCUGAUGGCGAGUGGCGAACGGGUGAGUAAAGCAUCGGAACGUACCGUGUAGUGGGGGAUAACGUAGCGAAAGUUACGCUAAUACCGCAUACGCACUGAGGUGGAAAGCAGGGGAUCGCAAGACCUUGCGCUAUACGAGCGGCCGAUGUCAGAUUAGCUAGUUGGUAGGGUAAAGGCCUACCAAGGCGACGAUCUGUAGCGGGUCUGAGAGGAUGAUCCGCCACACUGGGACUGAGACACGGCCCCGACUCCUACGGGAGGCAGCAGUGGGGAAUUUUGGACAAUGGGGGCAACCCUGAUCCAGCCAUGCCGCGGGGGUGAAGAAGGCCUUCGGGUUGUAAAGCUCUUUCGGCCGGGAAGAAAUCGCACAGGCUAAUACUCUGUGUGGAUGACGGUACCGGCAUAAGAAGCACCGGCUAACUACGUGCCAGCAGCCGCCGUAA